rnacentral:rRNA from 1 species
AGCGAACGCUGGCGGCAGGCCUAACACAUGCCAGUCGAACGAACCUUUCGGGGUUAGUGGCGGACGGGUGAGUAACACGUGGGAACGUGCCUUUAGGUUCGGAAUAACUCAGGGAAACUUGUGCUAAUACCGAAUGUGCCCUUCGGGGGAAAGAUUUAUCGCCUUUAGAGCGGCCCGCGUCUGAUUAGCUAGUUGGUUGAGGUAAUGGCUCACCAAGGCGACGAUCAGUAGCUGGUCUGAGAGGAUGAUCAGCCACAUUGGGACUGAGACACGGCCCAAACUCCUACGGGAGGCAGCAGUGGGGAAUCUUGCGCAAUGGGCGAAAGCCUGACGCAGCCAUGCCGCGUGAAUGAUGAAGAUCUUAGGAUUGUAAAAUUCUUUCACCGGGGACGAUAAUGACGGUACCCGGAGAAGAAGCCCCGGCUAACUUCGUG